UACGUAGUGGGCAAGCGUUGUCCGGAAUCAUUGGGCGUAAAGAGCGCGUAGGCGGUCCGGUAAGUCGGUUGUGAAAACUGGGGGCUCAACCCUCAGAGGCCGACCGAUACUGCCGGGCUAGAGUCCGGAAGAGGCGAGUGGAAUUCCUGGUGUAGCGGUGAAAUGCGCAGAUAUCAGGAGGAACACCAAUGGCGAAGGCAGCUCGCUGGGACGGUACUGACGCUGAGGCGCGAAAGCGUGGGGAGCGAACAGG
rnacentral:rRNA from 1 species